rnacentral:rRNA from 1 species
GAUGAACGCUAGCGGCAGGCUUAAUACAUGCAAGUCGAGGGGCAGCGGGGGUAGCAAUACCUGCCGGCGACCGGCAAACGGGUGCGGAACACGUACACAACCUUCCUUUAAGUGGGGGAU